GCCCAGGUGGUGGAACUGGCAGACACGCACGUUUGAGGGGCGUGUGGCGCAAGCCAUGCGGGUUCGAGUCCCGCCCUGGGCA
rnacentral:tRNA from 1 species